rnacentral:lncRNA from 1 species
GUUGUAAACGAUUCUGGUGUAGAAGUUAUAUUCAUAUCUUCUGAUGAAACCCACGAAGAUAUGAUAAACUACAUGAAGGAAGCUCAUGGUGAUUGGUAUUGUGUGGAAUAUGAAUCUGAUUUAGUGUAUCAACUAAAGGAAAAAUUUGAUGUCAACUCAAUACCUAAAUUGAUUGUUUGUAGAAAGGAUGGGUCUCUUGUUACGGCCAAUGGUCGUAAUGAUGUCUCUGAAAAAGAACCAUCAACAGCCGUUGCUGAUUGGAGAAAUUAAAGUUUAUUUUUUAAGCCCAUUUUAGGCGCCUGUAUUUUAGAAACGUACUCUUAAAGUAUUUCUAAAAUGCAAAUUAAUAGUUAAAUGUAAAAAAAAAUAAAUGUUACAAAGUAUUCUUGAAUUAUAUUAUUCUAUGCAUAAUUUGUAAAUUAAUUAUUUAAAAAAUGUACUUCGUGUAUUUGCAACAGUUUGUAAAGUAAAUAACUUAAAAGUGAUGUAAAGUUUUUAAGAAGAAAAAUUUGCG